GGGCGGUUAGCUCAGACUGGUGAGAGCGCCUGCCUUACAAGCAGGAGGUCGGAGGUUCGAAUCCUCCAUCGCCCA
rnacentral:tRNA from 1 species